rnacentral:rRNA from 1 species
UACGGGGGGGGCAAGCGUUGUUCGGAAUUACUGGGAGUAAAGGGCUCGUAGGCGGCCAACUAAGUCAGACGUGAAAUCCCUCGGCUUAACCGGGGAACUGCGUCUGAUACUGGAUGGCUUGAGGUUGGGAGAGGGAUGCGGAAUUCCAGGUGUAGCGGUGAAAUGCGUAGAUAUCUGGAGGAACACCGGUGGCGAAGGCGGCAUCCUGGACCAAUUCUGACGCUGAGGAGCGAAAGCCAGGGGAGCAAACGGG